UUAAAUAUAGUUUACAAAUAAAACAUUAUAUUUUCAUUAUAAAAAUAAUUUUUAAAAAAUUUAUUUAAA
rnacentral:tRNA from 1 species